rnacentral:rRNA from 1 species
UACGUAGGGACCAAGCGUUGUUCGGAUUUACUGGGCGUAAAGGGCGCGUAGGCGGCCUUCUAAGUCAGACGUGAAAUCCCUCGGCUCAACCGGGGAACUGCGUCUGAGACUGGAAGGCUUGAAUCCGGGAGAGGGAUGUGGAAUUCCAGGUGUAGCGGUGAAAUGCGUAGAUAUCUGGAGGAACACCGGUGGCGAAGGCGGCAUCCUGGACCGGUAUUGACGCUGAGGCGCGAAAGCCAGGGGAGCAAACGGG